CAUUGCCAGCCAUUGGACUGAUUUACUGAGCUUCCCUCUUAGGAUCAGGAAAGGAGAGGGUCCUCUGCCUUCUUCUGCUGGCUCUGAAAACGGCUCAAAACAUUGUGGAAGGGCUGAGUAGUGCAUAGAGAAAAGAGGUUCCGGACCUAAUCUGCACUCUUAAAAGGAAUUUUAUGUUUUGUCUAUUGCAGUUUAAUGAACAAGAUUUUCAGAAAGAAAAGUGAGUAUAGCGCUUGCUAUAAUGAUAUGAUG
rnacentral:lncRNA from 1 species